GUCCUUUUGAUUAUGAUUUAAGGUUUAAUCUGCUCAAUGAUUAUUUAAAUUGCCGCAGUAUUUUGACUGUGCAAAGGUAGCAUAAUAAUUAGUUUCUUUAUUGGGAACUGGAAUGAAUGAUUGGACGAAAAAAUUUCUGUCUCUUUGUUAUUUUAAUUGAAUUUUACUUUUAAGUUAAAAGGCUUAAAUAUAUUUAGAGGACGAGAAGACCCUAUAGAGUUUAAUUUUUAUUUGGUUAAUUAUUUUUAGUAUUUUAUAUGUUAAUUAAAUAAAAAUUUGGUUGGGGUGACUAAAAGAUAAAAUAAACUCUUUUAAUUUUUAAUCAAUUAUUUUUGAUUACAAAAUCUUUAUUUUUAAUUUUAAAAUAAAUUACCUUAGGGAUAACAGCGUAAUUCUUUUUAAAAGUUCUUAUUGAAAAAAGAGUUUGCGACCUCGAUGUUGGAUUAAAAUUAAUUUUAGGUGUAGAAGCUUAAAUAUUAAGUCUGUUCGACUUUAAAAAU
rnacentral:rRNA from 1 species